rnacentral:lncRNA from 1 species
GGACCAACCCCCCGCCAACCCCCAGCCUCCGGAUCCUCUCUCCAGGCCUUGGAGGAGGCUGCAGACCGUCAGAAGAGAGCUGGAGAGUAUCAUACAGAGGCUGGGAGCAGUGAGAGGCAACAGGAGAAAAGCUGUGUGUGUGUCCCUGGUCCCAGGUGCCAGAAGGUGCUGCAGCAUCACCAUCAAUUAACAUCGCCAUUGCAGAGAGCAUCUGAGUCCCCACUUAUGUGCUGGCACUGUGCCUAGCAACUUGCCUAUAUUUUCAAUUUUAAAUCUCCUACUUCCCUGUAAGGCAGACAUUAUAGAUCCACCUUGAUUUUACAGGGGAGGAAACUGAAGUUAAAUCACUCAUCCAAGGUCACACUGCUAGUAGGUGCAGGGGCCCAGGAUUCAACCCCAGGCAUGCCUGACUCCAAGGCCUGUGUUUGUUCUAUCAUUAAUCCUACACACAUUGGGCUUCACACAGGUUUAUUCUGGAGAUACUGACAUAUUCUGUUCAUGUCUGGGGGGUAGUUACACAAGUAUGUGUAA